UAGAAUGAGUUUAACUGUAGUAACCAAGGCAACCAGAAGAAAAAUAAUGAAGAAGUGAAGUAGUCUGGUUGCAGAAGCCCUAGCUCCUUCAAAACCCUCUACACUGCAGAGCUGCUUGUGAUGCUGAUUCCUGGCCACAAUUUUUUAUAGGGCUGAUUUAAUGCUGAAGCACUAAACUGCAAAUGAAGAGAAUUGUUCCUCAAAAUAAAGAUACCAGCUGGAAGCUACAGAAUUGAACUACAGCCUCUGUUUUGCACUGGACCACUAUGCUGAUCAAGCUAUAUCUCAUGUACUCUUCGGACUAGCAGAAACCUGUUCAGUGCUCAGCAUACAUCGAAAGGAGAUUGCAGGCAUUAAACAUUUGCUGCACCUAAGCCCUCCAUCUGUUUAAUACUAACUCAACCACCAAGAAGUGGAAAUUAUAUGUGAAGAAUUCACACAAACAAGUCCAUUGUUGCAAGUGCUUAGCAUAUUCAGUGAACCAUUGUAGGUUACUGCUAUGCACACAGACAGAAAUUACAUCAGGUUCAGUGAAGAAUCAUACUAACUUUGCCUACUUUUAUUAAGAGUAGUUGCUCUUUAGUACAUGUUUUAGUACAACUUAAUGUAAAUAUUUUUAGGCCAUUUGUAAAAAAAACAACACCAAAAACCUGAAGAAGACCAGCUGUCAUUGCAAUAAUUCACUCUUCCAUUUUGCUACACAGCUUUUCAGGUCCCAUGAUGGAAACAAGAAUGUUAUUCUUAUUUGUUAACUGAGUAAUUUAAUGUAAGCUAUCAACAAUCCAAAGAGGCCACAAGAACUUAGGGUUUAAAUAUCUCUUCUACCUCAAAUAAGAGCAUAGAAGUUCAGUACAGUCGCUGUUUUUCUGCUCUCACAACCCGCUUUUUGUGCAACCAUAAGAACUUCCUUUGUCCUUGACCUGACCUUAGAUUCACAUAAGCACAUGCAUGUUUGUUCAUCAAGGAAACCACCUUGAUUUUAACACAGGAAUUUAGACAUUUCUGGUUCUACUACUAUAACUCAAUUGAACAGGUGGCACCCCUGCCCCGUCAAACCUACAAGUUUUUAAUACUUGUGAAAUGUCUUUCUUUAACUUGAAGAGCUGACUCUAGAGAUGCAGAGCAGGUCUAUGAUUGUUCAGUCCUACUGAAGAUGAAUCUAACAUGAGGUUUGAAGGAGGAAAAGUCUGUCAGUGGACAGAGAACAGUCUGAGGCCAAUGAGCUAGAACUGUCUGCUCACUUUAAAGCUGAAAGUAUGACAUUUGGGAAACAAGAGUAAUCAAAGACAGCUCCUUCAGUACCCUGGACAGGUCCAAGGGAGCAAAUUACUUCUUCCCUGAGCGCUUGGUGCUAACACAGUUCUUACAUACUCCUCCUAGGUUACAUUCUUUUGCUGGACACAGGGAUGGACAGAUCACUGUAUUUGCAUUUCAUGCCAAUUUUGCAUGUGCUCAUUUGUAAGUCUUGUUUCUAUAUUAAUCUGCAAUUUUUAAAAUAAAAAAAAUUCCAUGGAACUCUG